rnacentral:rRNA from 1 species
GCCCAUCAGAGUGGACGAGACUCCAGCUAUUUGCUUUAAUUGCAAAUGCUCGUGUGACGUUUGCGUGCGAGCGGCAUCUAAGAGAGCGUUUAAGCUCGAGGCUCUGCCGACCGUGCGCGCAGCUCGCGAUCCGCCGUGACCAGUCUGCAGCAGAAGYUUUUCACAAGAGCCUGUGCUGCUGGCACGCGCUACGAUCGCGGCAAUGCGCACGAUCAGAGCGAGCAAUGCGCGCGUUUUAUGCUCUGAAACGCGCUGCUCUUAAAUGCGUGCAUGCAUCACAUGUUUUGUGCGUUUAGAUGAGCGCUGCGUGAGCCCUCAUGCGUGCUGCGUCUAUUAUGCAAACGAAAGCGUAAAAUUCUGCAGCGCAUGCUAUAAGCGUUACUUAUGGCGCGUGCAAUUGCAGGUUGCGCGAGGCUGCGAAAGGGCGGCGAUGUUGACGGACGCGUCGUCGCCGCCUCUUUUGGCUCGUCAGAAACUUUAACUAUGCUGGGAGUCGGUCCUCACCAGGCCC